UACGAAGGGGGCUAGCGUUGCUCGGAAUCACUGGGCGUAAAGGGUGCGUAGGCGGGUCUUAAGUCAGGGGUGAAAUCCUGGAGCUCAACUCCAGAACUGCCUUUGAUACUGAAGAUCUUGAGUUCGGGAGAGGUGAGUGGAACUGCGAGUGUAGAGGUGAAAUUCGUAGAUAUUCGCAAGAACACCAGUGGCGAAGGCGGCUCACUGGCCCGAUACUGACGCUGAGGCGCGAAAGCGUGGGGAGCAAACAGG
rnacentral:rRNA from 1 species